rnacentral:tRNA from 1 species
AGAGUAUAGCUCAGUGGUAGAGCACAUGCUUAGCAUGCACAAGGUCCUGGGCUCAAUCCCCAGUACCUCCA